GCAUCCCAGCCCAAAAAAACGCCCCAGUCUUCUCACCACCCAGCCGCCUCCCACGACUAGAAACCCCCGGUCACCGCAAGCCUACCACCCAACCACCGCGAGGCAUCCAUCCCCGGCCACCGCUGGCCACCAUCCCCAACCACCUCGAGGCUCCCACCCCCGACCACCGCUGGCCUCCAUCCUCGGCCGCCGCGAGGCUCCCACCCCCGGCCACCGUGGACCUCAAUCCCUGGCCGCCGCGAGCGCCACCGCCCUGCAUGCCUGCAUCUAUCCCAUUCCCGGCGACAAGGUCGCCGCCUAUGGAUCUCUCCUGUAGCCUCCCUUCAUGCUAGUGGAGGGAGAAGUACGUUUUCUGAAAAAAUGGCAGUAAACAGGCAUCGGGUCACUUUUUUGAUUCUACUCUUUUCUUGAUUUGUUAUUAGAUCAGAGAUGGAGUUGGCAAAUUUCUUCUGCCUUUUCUGUUCAAUGGAUAGAUGGAUGGAUGGGUGUAGUUCUCUGAAUGUAACAAGUGAUCCAAUGCUGCUUAACUUCCUCUGAACCGCCCUAAUCUUGUCCUACUCCCAGUCAUUAUCAGUUCGACAAAAGGUUGUAGAAAAGGUCAGAGUUGAGACUAGUUGUCAUUAAGGUUAGCCCCUUUGUUUUAGAUUCAGUAUCUCCAUUACCAGUAUAAAAAAAGGACCAGCGGACCAAUCAUAGCGCCGCUCAUGAUCUCUGCCUCCAAGCGCUGCACCCAUUGAUCAACCACACACGGCCAAAUCCUGGCGGCGCUCAUGAUCUGUGCCUCCAUCAGCUCCACUUCACCAAAGCAAUCAGUCCAUAGGAGGAGGUGUAGCUGGUCCACCUGAUCUCUGACGUCUUAUUCCAACUCCAGAAAAAUUCUUUUUGAGUUCUAUUCUUAGUCAUAGCACACAUGUAGCUUUUAAACUUCUUUUCCAGUCAUUCUAGUACUGAUGAAGAUCUAGUUGAUUGAAAUAAUGUAGUCGAUUCCUGAGACCCUUACUAGUCCUUCUAUAUAUAGAACUUGUGCCUGAUAGGGACAUGCCUUAUCUCUUUGUUGCCUGCUUGUUUUUGUAAAAUUCUUUGAACUUAUUUAGGUGAUAUAUUUGGACCUUUGCCUCGCCAGUACGACAUCAUGCUCCAUAGCCGGGCACGAGAAAAGCUGCAUGCAGGCCACCUUGUGCUCCGUCCUCUAUCCGCCUCAGUCAUCUCAGUCUCAUCCUCUCUCUCUGCUCUGUGUGUGUGCAGGGAGUGGGAGGAGAUAGAGCAUGGGAGUGGGCGGCCCUUCCGUAGCAAAUGCAUAGGCAUCUUCCAUGGAGAUUCUGAGCUCUCUCGAUUAUUGCUUAAGGAUUUAUAUUAUUGGUUUGUCCACUGUAGUUCUUGUAUAUCCGUGUCUUCUUUUUCUCAUGUUCCUCUUUCGAUGUUGCUACAUGUGUUUAAUGACCCACUGAUAUGAUUUCUGGAAACAAGCUUCAAUACAGAGAAGCUUCAGUACGAGAAAAAAUGGGUCAUCAGUUCAUCCAUAUGCAACCUUCUGCGUGGUCGUCCAUUUUUAUUUGGAGCCUACUCACCGCAAAGCACAAAAGAGGUUGGUGCUCACCUUCUUCGAGACCGCCACCCGCUCCCACAUUUGCAGGCUCUACGGCAAGACCUACUGCCCCGCCACCGCCACCGGUGAGCAAGCAUGCAUAAAAAUAAUCUUCCGUUUUUGUUUCUUUUAGUGUCAGAACCUUGCUUACAAACAAACACAAUAAAUAACACCGUGAGUCUGAACAUUCCUGCUAUUGAAUUCAGUACUAGUUAUCUAAUUUCUAGCUUCCACGCCCAUUGUGAAUUGUUGUUACCGAGGGAAGAGUUCAUAGUUGUUGUCUGAUGUUUAUUGAGGCAAAGGUUAUAAGUUUGUACUAAUAAACUAUAGUUUACUAAGGCAAAGAGUUAGAAGUAUUCAACACUCCAUGUAGUUGUCUAAACGACAGUUUGGUAGCUGUCCAAAUAAUUUUCUAAACAACAGUCUGAACAUUCCUGCUGCUGAAUAUCUCUCCUCUCUCAAAUUCGUUCAAAUUUGUUGUUGUUGUUGUUGCCUUGAGGGACCUCAAGUUAUUUGUUGUUAUUCCUAUGAGAAACCUUGUUUGGAUCGAAAGUAGCAUAUAUUCUAUUCUAUUCUUGCAAAAGCUUCAUUUCUGUUCUGUUUUGAAGUUACUUGGCAUAAAAAUUACUAUAGACAUAUAUGCUAUUGUAAAAGACUAGAUUUCUUCUAAAUGUGAAGUUCAAGCUCUCGGGAUUUGCUCUUCAAUUUUUUAACAGAUGUAAUGCUAAAAAAUGUGAUCAAUGGAUGCUAAGAGGGAUUGAUGUUGAAUGUCAAACUUAUGUCUUUGUGUGUAGUUGGUAAGAUGUAUACUGCACAUCAGUGUAGUGAAAAGAAAUAAAAAAUUGCAGCUAAUUAUUUUAGAUGUUAGAUUGUGGAGUUUGAAGUAGCGGAGACGAUGACCAGAUGUAGAUCGGCGAGUGCUUGAUCAACCUCAGCAGCAGCAAGAAGGAGCGCAUUCAGCUCGCCCGCGCCGUCUACGAGGAAUGCGACAUCUAACUCCUUGACGAUGUCUUCAGCACCGUCGAUGCACACAACGGCAGUGAGAUCUUCAAGCCGUCAUCGUGAGGAUUAGCCACCGUCUAUUUGGCGCAAGGCCUACCUGCGAUGGUGCCAUCUAUCAUGAGGUACAUCCUGUUUGAAUCUCUCCUCUCCGGCUCCGCAUGGUGAAGGUCUUUGUGUCUACCAUUUGUACUGUCAAUUUAUUUUGAAUUGAACUGGUGCUGCACUUGAUUCAGAUCUGAGGGAAGAAAACAUAACUACAUAAUUCAGUUCC